rnacentral:lncRNA from 1 species
GACAAGCAAUGUAAAAAAGAUCCAAGAAAUAGAAAUUUACAUCAAACAAACAUCAUUAAGUGAAAGAGUAUGAUUUUAGAAAAAUUUAGAAAAAAUAAGCAUCAAAUUUGGAUUACUUAUGAUGGAGAAAUACCAAGUACAAAUUUUUAUCCUAGAUUAAAAAGAGAAAGAGGAACUAUUCAUCUAUUCUUCAUCUGAAUCAACCAAAUUCUUAUUGUUUUAUAUAGUAUGAUUCGCUUUGGAUUAACCAAAUAACGUUGUAGUUCAUUGUUGCCUUUGUUGAGCGGUAGGUCCCUAGUUCGAAUCCACUUCUACUACAAUUCCC